rnacentral:rRNA from 1 species
UUCCUACGGGAGGCAGCAGUGAGGAAUAUUGGUCAAUGGGCGGAAGCCUGAACCAGCCAAGUCGCGUGAGGGAAGAAGGCCCUGCGGGUCGCAGACCUCUUUUGCCGGGGAGCAAGGGCCGGGACGCGUCCCGGCCCGGAGAGUACCCGGAGAAAAAGCAUCGGCUAACUCCGUGCCAGCAGCCGCGGUAAUACGGAGGAUGCGAGCGUUAUCCGGAUUUAUUGGGUUUAAAGGGUGCGUAGGCGGGCUUUUAAGUCAGCGGUAAAAAUUCGGGGCUCAACCCCGUCCGGCCGUUGAAACUUGGG